rnacentral:rRNA from 1 species
UUAUAAAUUGAGAGUUUGAUCCUGGCUCAGGACGAACGCUGGCGGCGUGCCUAAUACAUGCAA